CGAAGGGGGCGAGCGUUGUUCGGAUUUACUGGGCGUAAAGGGCGCGUAGGCGGCGCAGCAAGUCGCGUGUGAAAGCCCCGGGCUCAACCUGGGAAUGGCGCGCGAUACUGCUGUGCUGGAGUUCGGGAGAGGAGCGUGGAAUUCCCAGUGUAGAGGUGAAAUUCGUAGAUAUUGGGAAGAACACCGGUGGCGAAGGCGGCGCUCUGGACCGAUACUGACGCUGAGGCGCGAAGGCGUGGGGAGCAAACAGGAUUAGAUACCCUGGUAGUCCACGCGGUAAACGAUGUGUGCUAGACGUUGUGGAGCCUAGCUCUUCGGUGUCGCAGCAAACGCUUUAAGCACACCGCCUGGGGAGUACGGCCGCAAGGUUA
rnacentral:rRNA from 1 species